GAUGAACGCUGGCGGCGUGCCUAACACAUGCAAGUCGAGCGAUCUUCUUCGGAAGAGAGCGGCGGACGGGUGAGUAACGCGUGGGUAACCUGCCCUGUACACACGGAUAACAUACCGAAAGGUAUGCUAAUACGAGAUAAUAUACUUUUAUCGCAUGGUAGAAGUAUCAAAGCUCCGGCGGUACAGGAUGGACCCGCGUCUGAUUAGCUAGUUGGUAAGGUAACGGCUUACCAAGGCGACGAUCAGUAGCCGACCUGAGAGGGUGAUCGGCCACAUUGGAACUGAGACACGGUCCAAACUCCUACGGGAGGCAGCAGUGGGGAAUAUUGCACAAUGGGCGAAAGCCUGAUGCAGCAACGCCGCGUGAGCGAUGAAGGCCUUCGGGUCGUAAAGCUCUGUCCUAUGGGAAGAUAAUGACGGUACCAUAGGAGGAAGCCCCGGCUAACUACGUGCCAGCAGCCGCAGUAA
rnacentral:rRNA from 1 species